rnacentral:rRNA from 1 species
AACGCGAAGAACCUUACCUGGGCUCGAAGCGCAGUGGACCGGGGUAGAAAUAUCCCUUUCUCGCAAGAGACUGCUGCGGAGGUGCUGCAUGGCUGUCGUCAGCUCGUGUCGUGAGAUGUUGGGUUAAGUCCCGCAACGAGCGCAACCCUUGUCCUGUGUUGCCACUCCCCUUAAAAGGAAGCACUCGCAGGAGACCGCCAGCGAUAAGCUGGAGGAAGGUGGGGAUGAUGUCAAGUCAUCAUGGCCUUUAUGUCCAGGGCUACACACGUGCUACAAUGGACGGUACAAAGCGCUGCGAACCCGCGAGGGGAAGCUAAUCGCAAAAAACCGUUCUCAGUUCGGAUCGCAGGCUGCAACUCGCCUGCGUGAAGCUGGAAUCGCUAGUAAUGGUGUAUCAGAACGAUACCGUGAAUACGUUCCCGGGCCUUGUACACACCGCUAGUC